rnacentral:tRNA from 1 species
AGAAAGGUAAGCUAAAUUAAGCUACCAGGUUCAUACCCUGUUUAUAGAGAUUAACCCUCUCCUUUCUA